GGAAAGAGGAGCACGCUCCAUAAAUGGAAUUACAAACCACCGCCUAAAUUCAGCCAUCUUACC
rnacentral:tRNA from 2 species